UAACACAUGCAAGUCGAGCGGGGGAGAUUGCUUCGGUAAUUGACCUAGCGGCGGACGGGUGAGUAAUACUUAGGAAUCUGCCUAUUAAUGGGGGACAACAUCUCGAAAGGGAUGCUAAUACCGCAUACGCCCUACGGGGGAAAGCAGGGGAUCACUUGUGACCUUGCGUUAAUAGAUGAGCCUAAGUCGGAUUAGCUAGUUGGUGGGGUAAAGGCCUACCAAGGCGACGAUCUGUAGCGGGUCUGAGAGGAUGAUCCGCCACACUGGGACUGAGACACGGCCCAGACUCCUACGGGAGGCAGCAGUGGGGAAUAUUGGACAAUGGGGGGAACCCUGAUCCAGCCAUGCCGCGUGUGUGAAGAAGGCCUUAUGGUUGUAAAGCACUUUAAGCGAGGAGGAGGCUCUUUUGGUUAAUACCCAAGAUGAGUGGACGUUACUCGCAGAAUAAGCACCGGCUAACUCUGUGCCAGCAGCCGCGGUAAUACAGAGGGUGCGAGCGUUAAUCGGAUUUACUGGGCGUAAAGCGUGCGUAGGCGGCUUUUUAAGUCGGUUGUGAAAUCCCCGAGCUUAACUUGGGAAUUGCAUUCGAUACUGGGAAGCUAGAGUAUGGGAGAGGAUGGUAGAAUUCCAGGUGUAGCGGUGAAAUGCGUAGAGAUCUGGAGGAAUACCGAUGGCGAAGGCAGCCAUCUGGCCUAAUACUGACGCUGAGGUACGAAAGCAUGGGGAGCAAACAGGAUUAGAUACCCUGGUAGUCCAUGCCGUAAACGAUGUCUACUGGCCGUUGGGGUCUUUGAGACUUUAGUGGCGCAGCUAACGCGAUAAGUAGACCGCCUGGGGAGUACGGUCGCAAGACUAAAACUCAAAUGAAUUGACGG
rnacentral:rRNA from 1 species